rnacentral:rRNA from 1 species
UACGUAGGGUGCAAGCGUUAUCCGGAAUUAUUGGGCGUAAAGAGCUCGUAGGCGGUUUGUCGCGUCUGCUGUGAAAACUGGGGGCUCAACCCCCAGCCUGCAGUGGGUACGGGCAGACUAGAGUGCGGUAGGGGAGAUUGGAAUUCCUGGUGUAGCGGUGGAAUGCGCAGAUAUCAGGAGGAACACCGAUGGCGAAGGCAGAUCUCUGGGCCAUUACUGACGCUGAGGAGCGAAAGCGUGGGGAGCGAACAGG